CUGACGGAGCAACGCCGCGUGAGUGAGGAAGGUUUUCGGAUCUGUAAAACUCUGUUGCCAGGGAAGAACGCCAGGGAGAGGAAAUGCUCUUUGGGUGACGGUACCUGAGAAGAAAGCCCCGGCUAACUACGUGCCAGCAGCCGCGGUAAUACGUAGGGGGCAAGCGUUGUCCGGAAUUAUUGGGCGUAAAGCGCGCGCAGGCGGCGACUUAAGUCUGGUGUUUAAGCCCGGGGCUCAACCCCGGUACGCACUGGAAACUGGGUGGCUGGAGUGCAGGAGAGGGGAGUGGAAUUCCACGUGUAGCGGUGAAAUGCGUAGAAAUGUGGAGGAACACCAGUGGCGAAGGCGACUCUCUGGCCUGUAACUGACGCUGAGGCGCGAAAGCGUGGGGAGCAAACAGGAUUAAAUACCCUGGUAGUCCACGCCGUAAACGAUGAAUGCUAGGUGUUAGGCGUUUCGAUACGCUUGGUGCCGAAGUUAACACAGUAAGCAUUCCGCCUGGGGAG
rnacentral:rRNA from 1 species